rnacentral:rRNA from 1 species
ACUGACGCAGCCAUGCCGCGUGAUGAGAAGGCCUUCGGGUUGUAAAGUUCUUUCGGUGACGAGGAAGGCGUGAUGUUUAAUAGGCAUCACGAUUGACGUUAAUCACAGAAGAAGCACCGGCUAACUCCGUGCCAGCAGCCGCGGUAAUACGGAGGGUGCGAGCGUUAAUCGGAAUAACUGGGCGUAAAGGGCACGCAGGCGGCUAUUUAAGUGAGGUGUGAAAUCCCCGGGCUUAACCUGGGAAUUGCAUUUCAGACUGGGUAGCUAGAGUACUUUAGGGAGGGGUAGAAUUCCACGUGUAGCGGUGAAAUGCGUAGAGAUGUGGAGGAAUACCGAAGGCGAAGGCAGCCCCUUGGGAAUGUACUGACGCUCAUGUGCGAAAGCGUGGGGAGCAAACA